CUCCUACGGGAGGCUGCAGUCGAGAAUCUUUCGCAAUGCCCGAAAGGGUGACGAAGCGACGCCGCGUGUGGGAUGAAGGCCUUCGGGUUGUAAACCACUGUCGGGAGUUAAGAAUUGUAGGAAUGCUAAUAGUAUUUCUACUUGACUAAGGCUCCGGAGGAAGCCACGGCUAACUCUGUGCCAGCAGCCGCGGUAAUACAGAGGCGGCAAGCGUUGUUCGGAAUUAUUGGGCGUAAAGAGCAUGUAGGCGGCUAUGUAAGUCGGUUGUGAAAGCCUUCCGCUUAACGGAAGAAUGGCGGUCGAAACUGCAUGGCUUGAGUGCGGGAGGGGAGAGUGGAACUUCUGGUGGAGCGGUGAAAUGCGUAGAUAUCAGAAGGAACGUCGGCGGCGAAAGCGACUCUCUAGACCGUAACUGACGCUGAGUGUGCGAAAGCUAGGGGAGCAAACGGGAUUAGAUACCCCGGUAGUCCUAGCCGUAAACGAUGGGCACUAAGUAGAGGGGUUUUGAUUAUCUCUCUGCCGGAGCUAACGCAUUAAGUGCCCCGCCUGGGGAGUACGGCCGCAAGGCUAAAACUCAAAAGAAUUGACGGGGGCUCGCACAAGCGGUGGAGCAUGUGGCUUAAUUCGAUGCAACGCGAAGAACCUUACCGGGGCUUGACAUGAUAGAAGUAGGAACCCGAAAGGGCGACGAACGGUAUCCAGCCCGAAACUAUCACAGGUGUUGCAUGGCUGUCGUCAGCUCGUGUCGUGAGACGUUGGGUUAAGUCCCCUAACGAGCGAAACCCUUGUCUUUAGUUGCCAUCAGGUUAUGCUGGGCACUCUAAAGAGACUGCUGUCGUCAAGACGGAGGAAGGUGGGGAUGACGUCAAGUCAUCAUGGCCCUUAUGUCCCGGGCUGCACACGUGCUACAAUGGUUGGUACAAAGGGAUGCUAAACUGUAAAGCGGAGCGAAACCCAUAAAACCGAUCUCAGUUCAGAUUGGAGGCUGAAACCCGCCUCCAUGAAGUAGGAAUCGCUAGUAAUCGCGGAUCAGCUACGCCGCGGUGAAUAUGUUCCCGAGCCUUGAUCACACCGCCCGUC
rnacentral:rRNA from 1 species